GGAGGGGUGUUCCGAAUUGGUAAGGAGCCGGUCUUGAAAACCGGUGCCAAAUUUUUUUGGCUUGUGGGUUCGAGUCCCACCCCCUCCGCUA
rnacentral:tRNA from 1 species